CGCCUGGUAGCGGGGGAGUAACUAUUGGAAACGAAUAGCUAAUACCGCAUAAUAUUGAUUAUUGCAUGAUAAUUGAUUGAAAGAUGCUAUUGCAUCACUACCAGAUGGACCUGCGUUGUAUUAGCUAGUGGGUGAGGUAACGGCUCACCUAGGCGACGAUACAUAGCCGACCUGAGAGGGUGAUCGGCCACACUGGGACUGAGACACGGCCCAG
rnacentral:rRNA from 1 species